GAGGUGUUCUAUUCUCCUCUGAAGAGAAGGAUGCAACACAAUGUUUCCAAAAGCAGAUUUAUUUUGUCCAGGUGCUGCCAAUCCAGCAGCUGUACCAAAGUUGAAUCCUUUGUCAGCUACUCGAGAAAUUAUCCCUGACCAAGGAAAUCUUGACAUAGAUGAUUCCCGAAUUAAUGAUGGUUGUCCAAGAAUUCUGUUAAUAUAUCGUUGAAUCCUUUGUCAGCUACUCGAGAAAACAUCCCUGACCAAGGAAAUCUUGACAUAGAUGAUUCCCGAAUUAAUGAUGGUUGUCCAAGAAUUCUGUUAAUAUAUCCCCAGGUAACUCUGGCACCUUCC
rnacentral:lncRNA from 1 species